rnacentral:rRNA from 1 species
UACGGAGGGGGCUAGCGUUGUUCGGAAUUACUGGGCGUAAAGCGCGCGUAGGCGGCUUUGUAAGUUAGAGGUGAAAGCCCGGAGCUCAACUCCGGAAUUGCCUUUAAGACUGCAUCGCUAGAAUCAUGGAGAGGUUAGUGGAAUUCCGAGUGUAGAGGUGAAAUUCGUAGAUAUUCGGAAGAACACCAGUGGCGAAGGCGACUAACUGGACAUGUAUUGACGCUGAGGUGCGAAAGCGUGGGAGCAAACAGG